CACUCAUGGCUCAGGUCAGCUGACGUCCCUUCCUGUGCCCUUCCAUGGUGGGAGACCACCGCGGGAUGGACCUGUGCUCCUGACCAAGCCUGAAUUAUAAGAGAAUUCUUGUGCUUCUAAAGGCUUCUAAGGCAGAAAAGUAGACACAGGUUCUGAAAAUUCUGAUCUCAGAGUUCUGACUUUCCCAGGCAUGAAGCUCCCUUUGAGGCCCUCAGUUCCACUAGCAAAGCAUGGGGUGCUUCCCGGCCACCCUGCAAGCUGGGCUCCCAGCCACAUCAGCCCCAGAAACAGCAGAGACAACCAUAGAAGGCAACGCUUCUCCUCGGUGAGCCAUGUCCCCCAAGCCUGGCGCGAGGGGCGCUGAGGUUUACGCGGAGCGAUUGCUAGGCUGCCUCCCUUUCUCUGGGCCCAGGAGUUUCCCUCUGAUGCCUGCUGGGGGCUUAUCCGUGAGCAGGCCUGGCCAUGCCCACACACGCAUCUACAACUGUAGGAACUGGCAUCUGUACAGAAUUGAGGGGCCUGGCCAGAGGCUGUAACUGAAAAAACUGCUCUAACUCCUGCGAGCUCACUGGCUAGGAUUCCCUAGCGUUGAUGGCAAGUGGUUCUGGAUCUCUCCAGCAUCUCACAGUGCUCUUUUAAUUUCCACCUGCUGAUCAGGAGGUCUAAGAGAAGGAAGCAAAUCUGAGAACAGAACUAUCACUGGAACACAUUCUGAAUGUUACCCUCAGUUCCAGUUAUCUUUUGCUGUGUAAUAAACCUGCAGGGCCUAAAACAGCCAUUCUCUUUGUCUGACAGGUUAUGUGGGUCAGAUUUUGGCUGGGACAUGGCAAGGACAGCUUGUAUCUGUUGCACAACGUCUGGUCCUUAGCUGAACAGCUGGGGAUGAUUUAAAUGUCUGGGGCUGGCAUGUGGGCUGAGAUGACUUGAUGACUUGGCU
rnacentral:lncRNA from 1 species